rnacentral:rRNA from 1 species
GAUGAACGCUGGCGGCGUGCCUAAUACAUGCCAGUCGAGCGAACAGAUGAGGAGCUUGCUCCUCUGACGUUAGCGGCGGACGGGUGAGUAACACGUGGAUAACCUACCUAUAAGACUGGGAUAACUUCGGGAAACCGGAGCUAAUACCGGAUAAUAUAUUGAACCGCAUGGUUCAAUAGUGAAAGACGGUUUUGCUGUCACUUAUAGAUGGAUCCGCGCCGCAUUAGCUAGUUGGUAAGGUAACGGCUUACCAAGGCAACGAUGCGUAGCCGACCUGAGAGGGUGAUCGGCCACACUGGAACUGAGACACGGUCCAGACUCCUACGGGAGGCAGCAGUAGGGAAUCUUCCGCAAUGGGCGAAAGCCUGACGGAGCAACGCCGCGUGAGUGAUGAAGGUCUUCGGAUCGUAAAACUCUGUUAUUAGGGAAGAACAAAUGUGUAAGUAACUAUGCACGUCUUGACGGUGCCUAAUCAGAAAGCCACGGCUAACUACGUG